GAUUUAGAAAAAGAAAGCAUAAAACAACGUUGAAUUUGUUUCCUUCUAUCAAAAUGUAUCGUAUCGAAAAUAACCGAACCGAGACAAAAUUAUGCAAUACGUAUCGAACCGUGAAGGAGGUGUACCGUUUCACCCCUAGUCAACUGUCUUGGUCAGCACCCCAGCCCAGGCGUGAAUCAACACUGGCACAUUAUAUCAAAAUUAAGGAUGGUGGCUGAAGCUCAUCUCCUAUGUAAACACCUAAAUGCCAAGUCUGGACUUCAAAAACAGAUUCUGAAAGUUUAACCAGCAUUAUGGACAAAAAGUAUACACUUCGAACAGACACAAAAACAUAUAGGUCCAUGCCAAGCUAUGAAAGAUUUAUGCUGAGGAUGAAAGGGAAUUGCAGAAGAAUGAAUUGAUGUUAACAUCUCAACAUUAAAAUUGGCUUAAAUUUGAA